ACGUUGUGCUGUCGACGCGUUGAUAAAUGGAAGAAACAGUGGAAAUCACGAGGCGUUCGCUUGGAACAGCUUCACAUUAUGAUAAUCCAUGAACGAAGACACACCGAGUGCGCGGGCCUCCAUCUACAACAAGACAAUGGAACUACACCCGACAUUAUUCCUCAAGCCUAAAUGCAGAAAAACAACAACUAGUUCUUCUGUGAGCUGUUCAACGUUCUCAGUGUGAGUUUCACUUCAAACAAGAGCGAUAGCGUCAUCCAGCUAUUGGUUGUUUGCAUUGGAGAACAAAAACGAAAAUUGGACAACGAUGCAUCAUGCAAAUCAGCUAUUCUAAUGGCUAUGUAUGUUAUAUAAAUAACUAUUAAGAUUACUUCUUCGAAAAUCGGAGUGAAACUCGCACCCAACGAACGCAAAUAAAGGGAUCUGGGUCAUUUCGCCGAAAAUCAUUUCGCCGAAAGCCAUUUCGCCGAAAGCCAUUUCGCCGAAAGCCAUUUCGCCGAAAGGGUCAUUUCGCCGAAUCCUGAAAUCGUCUUAUAAUAGUAAUAAGAAUUGUUUUAAAAUAAAGACAAAUGAAAGAUGA